rnacentral:lncRNA from 1 species
AUUAUUAGUAUUCUGAUUUAAUUUAUUGUUUCUUAAAAAAAAAUUAAAAAUCAUAUCCAAAGUAAUAAAGGUUGAAAACACUAUUAAUAAAAAUUAUUGUCUUCUAAAAAAAACUUAACACAAUUUCUAAUGAGAAAAAAAAACAGAACAGGGGUGACAAAAAUGAGAGGAGCCAAUAAAAAAUACCGAUAAGAAAUUUAUCGGUGUGGUAAGUAUUUCUUCUCGUUUGCUUGCAUGCUAUGUUUGUAUUAUAUCUAUUAUUAAUAUUAACAUAACAUCUUUGUAUAUCAUCAUGUGAAUAUGUCCUUAAACUAAAUGAAUGCAUUUCAUUAUUACUAGAGGUUCAGAUUAAUGUUGGAAUUGUCAUAAAUAAAUAAAUAAAAAAUCGAAAUAAGAACAAAUAAAAUAAAAUAAAAUAAUUUAUCUUUGGUGUCCAAACUCGUCCAACAGUGAACCAUCUUGUUGAGCUGUUUGAUAAUAGUCUUGGCCUAUUCCGUCACCGUCGUCUGGCCUGCAUUUACACGUGUGAUGUCUCCCUCCGCUAGCCUUCCGAUACCGCCGCCAUAAAUACCGCUGCUGGCUUGCGUGUUUCAUAUUUCCUACAUGUUAUGUUAUGUAACUAUUACACUAGGUUGGAGAUAGCAUUAUGGCCUUAACCUAUGAAGCUAAAAAUAACGAAUAUAAUAU